UACGUAGGUGGCAGGCGUUGUCCGGAUUUACUGGGCGUAAAGAGCGCGCAGGCGGUCGAGUAAGUCGAAUGUGAAAGCCCCCGGCUUAACUGGGGAGGGUCAUUCGAUACUGUUCGACUUGAAGGCAGGAGAGGGCAGCAGAAUUUCCGGUGUAGUGGUGAAAUGCGUAGAUAUCGGAAGGAACAUCAGUGGCGAAAGCGACUUCCUGGACCAGUACCGACGUUCAGGCACGAAAGCGUGGGGAGCAAACAGG
rnacentral:rRNA from 1 species